rnacentral:rRNA from 1 species
GAUGAACGCUGGCGGCGUGCCUAAUACAUGCAAGUCGAGCGAACAGACGAGGAGCUUGCUCCUCUGACGUUAGCGGCGGACGGGUAAGUAACACGUGGAUAACCUACCUAUAAGACUGGGAUAACUUCGGGAGACCGGAGCUAAUACCGGAUAAUAUAUUGAACCGCAUGGUUCAAUAGUGAAAGACGGUUUUGCUGUCACUUAUAGAUGGAUCCGCGCCGCAUUAGCUAGUUGGUAAGGUAACGGCUUACCAAGGCAACGAUGCGUAGCCGACCUGAGAGGGUGAUCGGCCACACUGGAACUGAGACACGGUCCAGACUCCUACGGGAGGCAGCAGUAGGGAAUCUUCCGCAAUGGGCGAAAGCCUGACGGAGCAACGCCGCGUGAGUGAUGAAGGUCUUCGGAUCGUAAAACUCUGUUAUUAGGGAAGAACAAAUGUGUAAGUAACUAUGCACGUCUUGACGGUACCUAAUCAGAAAGCCACGGCUAACUACGUG